UGGGGGAUAUUGCACAAUGGGCGAAAGCCUGAUGCAGCGACGCCGCGUGGGGGAUGAAGGCUUUCGGGUUGUAAACCUCUUUCGCUAUCGAACAAGGCCCGCUUAGGGUGGGUUGAGGGUAGGUGGAGAAGAAGCGCCGGCUAACUACGUGCCAGCAGCCGCGGUAAUACGCAGGGCGCGAGCGUUGUCCGGAAUUAUUGGGCGUAAAGGGCUUGUAGGCGGCUUGUUGCGCCGGCUGUGAAAACGCGGGGCUUAACUUCGCGCGUGCAGUGGGUACGGGCAGGCUUGAGUGUGGUAGGGGUGACUGGAAUUCCAGGUGUAGCGGUGGAAUGCGCAGAUAUCUGGAGGAACACCGAUGGCGAAGGCAGGUCACUGGGCCAUUACUGACGCUGAGGAGCGAAAGCAUGGGUAGCGAACAGG
rnacentral:rRNA from 1 species